UAUUUUCAAUAUUUCUCGUUAUUUGUAUCAUAAAUAACUUUCAGUUGUGCUGCGGUAAUUCUUUUAGAAUGAGUAAUUUAAAUGCUGUUUUACUUAAUUGCCCGAUUAAUGAUAAGGAAUCGACUUGUGAACCACAGUUGCUCGUCACUAUUCACUUUAAGCCCACCUUAAAUGUGAAGUCUCAAGAUAACCUUCUAAUACUGGACGAAACAUAUGAGCCUUAUAACCGUCAGAGCUUUGAAACACUGUCUCCUUAUGUAAUAGUGAUAAGCAGGAGUGAGCCAAUUAUCAUGCACUCAUUAAAAUUCUCAAAACUCGAAAAUUCUACUAAUAAUUGCAACUCAAUAAUUUCUAAUGCGAUACAAGUUCAUAUUCGAUAUAUAAUUUAAGCGCUCCAUUUCCAUAUUUGACAGCCAAAUUACGGAUUUAUAAAAAAAGGCAGAAAACGUGGUGGAUGAUAAUGCCGCCAAUUGCGUUAAAUAACUUGGCUGGUACAUUUGUUAAAGGAAAUGUUUCUAUAAUUUUAACAUCGCGAGAAAAUGCUCUGCAGACCAAAAAAUCUCUAUUACAAGACAAAUUCCACCGAUAAUCUUACGAAGGCAAAAAAAAUCAUUAGAAUGCCAACUAUUGAUUAUGAAAUGAAAUUAAAAACUAAAGAUGACUCAAUUCCAGCUUCAAUAAAAUUGUUGGACAAAUGUCCAACAAACGCUAAAACAUUAUGCCUGAAUAUGUUGGAUGAGCAAGUGCCAGCCUUUAAUAUUAAAAUUAAAAUGCCAUUUAGAGAAAACGCAGUUCGAAAAAAUAUUUUAAAAGUAAAAAUAUCUAGAAUUGUAACUGAUGCCACAACUAAAGAUGCACUUCAAAUAUCUGUUGAUGUCAUUAACAAGGGUCUGACAUCACAGGAAUUUUUCAUAACUAUUUCCAACUGUCCCUUCUCAAAAAGUGUAUCAGUUAUAACAACUGUAAACAAAAUUCUGCUUCCUCAUAUAUCAGAAACUAUUACGUUUUUAUUACCUUUUAUAAUGGGAUCGAACAAAAAAGUAAAAUUUAACU